rnacentral:tRNA from 1 species
GGCUCCUUAGCUCAGCGGACAGAGCAGCCAGCGUCUAAGUGACAGGCCCGAGGUUCGAAUCCUCGACGGGCCGCCA